rnacentral:rRNA from 1 species
UAAUACGUAGGGGGCGAGCGUUGUCCGGAAUUAUUGGGCGUAAAGCGCGCGCAGGCGGCUCUUUAAGUCUGAUGUGAAAGCCCGCGGCUCAACCGCGGAGGGUCAUUGGAAACUGGGGAGCUUGAGUGCAGGAGAGGAGAGUGGAAUUCCACGUGUAGCGGUGAAAUGCGUAGAGAUGUGGAGGAACACCAGUGGCGAAAGCGGCUCUCUGGCCUGUCACUGACGCUGAGGCGCGAAAGCGUGGGGAGCAAACAGGAUUAGAUACCCUGGUAGUCCACGCCGUAAACGAUGAGUGCUAGGUGUUAGGGGGGUCCAACCCCUUAGUGCUGAAGGAAACCCAUUAAGCACUCCGCCUGGGGAGUACGACCGCAAGGUUGAA